UACGUAGGGUGCGAGCGUUGUCCGGAAUUAUUGGGCGUAAAGGGCUCGUAGGCGGUUUGUCGCGUCGGGAGUGAAAACGCCGUGCUUAACACGGCGCUUGCUUUCGAUACGGGCAGACUAGAGGUAUGCAGGGGAGAACGGAAUUCCUGGUGUAGCGGUGAAAUGCGCAGAUAUCAGGAGGAACACCGGUGGCGAAGGCGGUUCUCUGGGCAUUACCUGAUGCUGAGGAGCGAAAGUGUGGGGAGCGAACAGG
rnacentral:rRNA from 1 species